UACGAAGGGGGCUAGCGUUGUUCGGAAUUACUGGGCGUAAAGCGUGCGCAGGCGGUUCGUUGUGUCUGAUGUGAAAGCCCCGGGCUCAACCUGGGAAUGGCAUUGGAAACUGGCGAGCUAGAGUGUGGCAGAGGGGGGUGGAAUUCCGCGUGUAGCAGUGAAAUGCGUAGAGAUGCGGAGGAACACCGAUGGCGAAGGCAGCCCCCUGGGCUAGCACUGACGCUCAGGCACGAAAGCGUGGGGAGCAAACAGG
rnacentral:rRNA from 1 species